GAAGAAGGGAAGGAAGUCGGCGCCGGCGACAAUGCCUCCGAAGAUUGUUGAAGUGGACCGCUCUGUUCUUGACGAUAUUGGGUUUUUGUCAGCAUAGUGUGUUGGGGAGAUUGGCUACCUCAGUGUUGUGUUAGCAGGAUGCGCAACUAGAUUCCUCCAAAGUCGAACAACACUUGCAUCUUCACCAUACCGAUGUUACAAUGUUGAGGGAUGAAAAAGCUGCGUCUACCUAAAGAGCCGACAUCAGUUGGCUAAUCUGGAUAUUCUGGCUGCCACGAUGUCUUCCUUCGGCAGCCUCUCUGGCCCCUUUUCAGGCGGACAAGACCAUCGAAGACGUUGCGCUGCCUCCGCCCCCUGUGAUAAUUUCAGCUGGUGCUUCCUGAGCAUCAAUCCUCCUCCUGGGUCAAAAACAAAAGGCAAGAGACACGGCCCUGGAACGGUCACCCAAAACGUGCUCUCUUUUGUGGACGAACUAAAGCGUUUUCAAGCACUCA